CCUACGGGAGGCAGCAGUGGGGAAUAUUGGACAAUGGGGGAAACCCUGAUCCAGCGACGCCGCGUGAGUGAAGAAGUAUUUCGGUACGUAAAGCUCUAUCAGCAGGAAAGAAAAUGACGGUACCUGACUAAGAAGCCCCGGCUAACUACGUGCCAGCAGCCGCGGUACUACGUAGGGGGCAAGCGUUAUCCGGAUUUACUGGGUGGAAAGGGAGCGUAGACGGCAGCGCAAGUCUGGAGUGAAAUGCCGGGGCCCAACCCCGGAACUGCUCUGGAAACUGUGAAGCUGGAGUGCAGGAGAGGUAAGCGGAAUUCCUGGUGUAGCGGUGAAAUGCGUAGAUAUCAGGAGGAACACCGGCGGCGAAGGCGGCUUACUGGUCUGUAACUGACGUUGAGGCUCGAAGGCGUGGGGAGCAAACAGGAUUAGAUACCCGAGUAGUC
rnacentral:rRNA from 1 species